rnacentral:rRNA from 1 species
AACGAACGCUGGCGGCAGGCUUAACACAUGCAAGUCGAGCGCAUCCUUCGGGGUGAGCGGCAGACGGGUGAGUAACACGUGGGAAUCUACCCAACCCUACGGAAUAGCUCCGGGAAACUGGAAUUAAUACCGUAUACGCCCCUAGGGGGAAAGAUUUAUCGGGGAUGGAUGAGCCCGCGCUGGAUUAGCUAGUUGGUGGGGUAAAGGCCUACCAAGGCGACGAUCCAUAGCUGGUCUGAGAGGAUGAUCAGCCACAUUGGGACUGAGACACGGCCCAAACUCCUACGGGAGGCAGCAGUGGGGAAUAUUGGACAAUGGGCGCAAGCCUGAUCCAGCCAUGCCGCGUGAGUGAUGAAGGCCUUAGGGUUGUAAAGCUCUUUCACCGGAGAAGAUAAUGACGGUAUCCGGAGAAGAAGCCCCGGCUAACUUCGUGCCAGCAGCCGCCGUAACAC